rnacentral:hammerhead_ribozyme from 1 species
CUCAUGGUGAAGAGUCCCACAAUAGGACGAAACGGCCGUCCAAG